UUUUAAAUGGCACAAUGCCCAGGCCCUACCCAAGACCCAUUAAAUUAGAACUUCUGAGGGCAGAACCCAGGCAAUGAGGUACUUUAAAGCUUCCCCAGACAAGGUUUCAAAAAUCACUGAAGGCCAUGAGUAGAUGCUCUAAGACUACAACUACUAGACCGGGAUCAGGAAAACUGUCAAGAGCCAAGCAUGUUGUGAGACAGCGACUCCAGCCCAACCUCUCCCCCGACCUUUGUUCUCUCUGGGGCUUGUGACUGUUCUCUUCUUGCUGUCCCCAAAACUGCAGUCGCAAGGUCAGCCAGCAGAGGGCAGCUGGUGUGUCUCUAUCCCUGGUCCUGGCCCCUGGUUGGCCUGCUGCGGUGGCUGCCACACCCAGCUCCACCCUGAGCAGCGCCUGGAGGCCCCCUGGGCAGAGCACUACAGGCAAGGCAGAGUACCAGAGCACACCGUGCCUGAUGUUUCCUGGACACGGAGUCAUCACUACCUGGUGGCCCGAUGGAUUUCAGACGUGAUUUUCUUUUUACUUUUUUUGCGGAUUAAUAAAUUACACACAGUGCAUAGAACUUUAUGCAGGUGGAUACACUUUUACAUAUGUAUACACCUGUGUAGCCUCCACUCAGAAGAUACCAGAAUUUCCAUCACCUCAAGAUGCUCUCUGUACCCCACCCAGUCAACUCCCCUCGCCCCCACAAGGGCAGCCACUAUUUUGUUUUCUUUCACUAGAGAUUAA